AUUGAACGCUGGCGGCAGGCUUAACACAUGCAAGUCGAGCGGAGAUGAGGUGCUUGCACCUUAUCUUAGCGGCGGACGGGUGAGUAAUGCUUAGGAAUCUGCCUAUUAGUGGGGGACAACAUUCCGAAAGGAAUGCUAAUACCGCAUACGUCCUACGGGAGAAAGCAGGGGAUCUUCGGACCUUGCGCUAAUAGAUGAGCCUAAGUCGGAUUAGCUAGUUGGUGGGGUAAAGGCCUACCAAGGCGACGAUCUGUAGCGGGUCUGAGAGGAUGAUCCGCCACACUGGGACUGAGACACGGCCCAGACUCCUACGGGAGGCAGCAGUGGGGAAUAUUGGACAAUGGGGGGAACCCUGAUCCAGCCAUGCCGCGUGUGUGAAGAAGGCCUUAUGGUUGUAAAGCACUUUAAGCGAGGAGGAGGCUACUUUAGUUAAUACCUAAAGAUAGUGGACGUUACUCGCAGAAUAAGCACCGGCUAACUCUGUGCCAGCCGCCGCAGUAACAC
rnacentral:rRNA from 1 species